AUUGAACGCUGGCGGCAUGCUUUACACAUGCAAGUCGAACGGUAACAGGGUGCUUGCACCGCUGACAAGUGGCGAACGGGUGAGUAAUGCGUCGGAACGUGCCGAGUAGUGGGGGAUAACGCAGCGAAAGUUGUGCUAAUACCGCAUACGUACUGAGGUAGAAAGUGGGGGACCUUCGGGCCUCACGCUAUUCGAGCGGCCGACGUCUGAUUAGCUAGUAGGUGAGGUAAAGGCUCACCUAGGCGACGAUCAGUAGCGGGUCUGAGAGGAUGAUCCGCCAGACGGGGACUGAGACACGGCCCAGAAUCCUACGGGAGGCAGCAGUGGGGAAUUUUGGACAAUGGGCGAAAGCCUGAUCCAGCCAUGCCGUGUGUCUGAAGAAGGCCUUCGGGUUGUAAAGGACUUUUGUCAGGGAGGAAAUCCCUAGUGCUAAUAACACUGGGGGAUGACAGUACCUGAAGGAUAAGCACCGGCUAACUACGUGCCAGCCGCCGCGGUAAGAC
rnacentral:rRNA from 1 species